UACAGAGGGGGCAAGCGUUGUUCGGAAUUAUUGGGCGUAAAGGGCGCGUAGGCGGCUCGCUAAGUCAGACGUGAAAUCCCUCGGCUCAACCGAGGAACUGCGUCUGAUACUGGUGGGCUUGAGUCCGGGAGAGGGAAGCGGAAUUCCGGGUGUAGCGGUGAAAUGCGUAGAUAUCCGGAGGAACACCGGUGGCGAAGGCGGCUUCCUGGAUCGGUACUGACGCUGAGGCGCGAAAGCCAGGGGAGCAAACGGGAUUAGAAACCCCCGUAGUCC
rnacentral:rRNA from 1 species